CUGGGCUUGACAUGUGGGUGACCGCCGUGGAAAUACGGCUUCCCUUCGGGGCACCUUCACAGGUGGUGCAUGGCUGUCGUCAGCUCGUGUCGUGAGAUGUUGGGUUAAGUCCCGCAACGAGCGCAACCCCCGUCGCAUGUUGCCAGCAUUAAGUUGGGGACUCAUGCGAGACUGCCGGUGACAAACCGGAGGAAGGUGGGGAUGACGUCAAGUCAUCAUGCCCCUUAUGUUCAGGGCUACACACGUGCUACAUUGGCGCGUACAGAGGGCUGCGAUACCGCGAGGUGGAGCGAAUCCCUUAAAGCGCGUCUCGGUUCGGAUUGUAGGCUGAAACUCGCCUACAUGAAGGCGGAGUUGCUAGUAAUCGCGGAUCAGCACUGCCGCGGUGAAUACGUUCCC
rnacentral:rRNA from 1 species